rnacentral:rRNA from 1 species
UACGUAGGGUGCGAGCGUUGUCCGGAAUUAUUGGGCGUAAAGGGCUCGUAGGCGGUUUGUCGCGUCGGGAGUGAAAACCCAGGGCUUAACCCUGGGCUGGCUUUCGAUACGGGCAGACUAGAGGUAUGCAGGGGAGAACGGAAUUCCUAGUGUAGCGGUGAAAUGCGCAGAUAUCAGGAGGAACACCGGUGGCGAAGGCGGCAUCCUGGACCAAUACUGACGCUGAGGAGCGAAAGCCAGGGGAGCAAACGGG